rnacentral:misc_RNA from 1 species
GAUGAAGAACGCAGUGAAAUGCGAUAAGUAGUGUGAAUUGCAGAAUUCAGUGAAUCAUCGAAUCUUUGAACGCACAUUGCGCCCCUUGGUAUUCCAUGGGGCAAGCCUGUUCGAGCGUCAUUUGUACCCUCAAGCUUUGCUUGGUGUUGGGCGUCUUGUCUACUUGCCUAAGUAGACUCGCCUUAAAGUCAUUGGCAGCCAGUGUUUUUGGCAGUAAGCGCAGCACAUUUUGCGUCUUAGUCCCUAAACAGCGGCGUCCAGACAGCCUCUUUCUCACUUUUGACCUCGGAUCAGGUAGGGAUACCCGCUGAACUUAAGCAUAUCAAUAAGCGGAGGA